GCUGCUCUUCUCCUCCUCCCGCCGCUGCUCGACAUCGUAUGUUAUCAUCCUCUCCUCUGGUCGUGGUCUUAUGUCAGAGCUUCUUGUUCUUGAACCUUUUUGGCUUUUCUUGGUUCUUGAGACUUGGUGCGAUCUCGACCGGGCUUUCAGUUUCGUCGGGGAACGGAACCGCUAUAGCCCCCGAGAUCGCGAGCAUAGGUGAAGCUUGGCGAACUGCCAUAUCCUCCAAGAUCUCGUCGAGCUGUGGCCGGCACAAGUCCAAUGGAUUGCAGCAGCGCGCUCUCCACCAAACCCGUCCCUCCCGCUCCUCCAAACCCCUCCUCCGCGAACCUCCCGGAAUCCCCGACUCCGCAGCGCAAGAUUUGGAUCAAGCCGACGGCUCCGGCUUCCAAGAAGCAGCAGCAGCAGCAGCGGAGGAAGAAAGGGUCUGGGUGGGACGAGAAGAGGGUGGUGGGUGUCGUGGAUUACGACGAGGGCGAGCGCCGCGUCUCUACCGAGAUCAGCGGGGCCCGCAAGGAUGAGAUCCCUGCGAGGUACCGUCUCCGCGUCGACGGCAGCCGCUGGCAGAAGGACUGGAAACUCUCCGAGGUCGUCGACCAGGUGAUGAGGCUGCGCCACUGGGAGGACAUCGAUGGCGUCCUCAACCGCUGGGCCGGUCGCUUCGCUCGGAAAAACUUCCCUCUCCUCAUUCGGGAAAUAACAAGUACUGGUUCCCUUGAUCAUGCUGUACAUGUGUUCCGGUGGAUGAAAAAUCAGAGACACUACUCUCCUCGGAGUGACAUCUACAAUAUGCUCAUUAGUCUGCAUGCCAAACAUAAUCAAACUGAUCAAGCACGUGGUUUAUUUUUUGAGAUGCAACAGUGGAGGUGCAAACCUGAUACUGAAACCUAUAAUUCUCUCAUUAAUGCACAUGGUCGAGUUGGUCAGUGGCGUUGGGCUGUGAAUAUUAUGGAAGAUAUGCUUCAAGCUGCUAUACCUCCUAGCCGAACUACAUACAAUAAUUUGAUUAGUGCUUGUGGAUCUGGUGGCCACUGGAAAGAGGCUCUUGAAAUUUGCAAGAAAAUGACAGAAAAUGGUGUGGGGCCUGAUUUGGUGACUCAUAACAUUAUUUUAUCAGCUUUCAAAAGAGGAGCUCAAUAUUCAAAAGCUCUGGCUUACUUUGAUCUGAUGAAAGAAACAAAUAUUUGCCCCGACACUAUCACUUUUAAUAUAGUUAUACAUUGCCUUGUUAAGCUUGGACAAUUUGGAAAAGCAGUGGAUGUUUUUAACUCAAUGCGAGAGAGAGGUGCAAAGUGUCAGCCUGAUAUAGUUACUUUUACCUGCAUCAUUCAUGCAUAUUCAACUUGUGGACAAAUUGAGAAUUGCAAGGUGGCAUUUGAUAUGAUUCUUGCUGAAGGACUGAAACCUAAUAUUGUUGCUUAUAAUGCACUAAUUGGUGCCUAUGCUUCUAAUGGAAUGCAUACAGAGGCAUUGGCCACUUUUAAUUUACUUAAACAUGCAGGAUUGAGACCUGAUGUUGUAUCAUACACUUCCUUACUUAAUGCUUAUGGCCGAUCAGGACAGCCCGAAAAGGCUAAAGGAGUCUUUGACAUGAUUAAACAGAAUUCGUUGAGGCCAAAUAUUGUUAGUUACAAUGCAUUAAUUGAUGCAUAUGGAUCUUCAGGUUUGUUGGCUGAAGCCAUAGGAGUGUUGCAUGCCAUGGAAGAAGAUGGUGUUCAUGCAGAUAUUGUCUCAAUAAGCACACUUUUGGCAGCUUGUGGUCGAUGUAGUCAAAUUGUAAACAUUGACUCUGUACUAUCAGCGGCUAGAUCACGACGGAUUAAGUUAAACACAGUUGCAUACAACUCGGCAAUUGGGAGCUAUAUGAGUGUGGAGGAAUAUGAUAAAGCUGUAUCUUUAUACAGGUCAAUGAGAGAAGAUAAUAUAAAACCUGAUUCCAUUACUUUCAAUAUACUAAUUAGUGGUUCUUGUAAGGUGAAAAAAUAUGCAGAGUCCUUACAGUUUUUGGAUGAGAUGAUGGACCUAAAUAUUCCAUUUUCCAAGGAGGUUUACUCAUCUCUGAUCCACUCAUACAGCAAACAGGGCCAGCUAACAGAGGCUGAAUCUAUUUUCAAUAUGAUGAAGGGGACUGAUUGCUCACCUGAUGUUAUAACAUACACUUCCAUGAUUCAUGCAUAUUCUAUAGCAGGGAACUGGAUGAAAGCCUGGGAGCUGUUUGAAGACAUGGAAAGAAAUAACAUUCAGCCAGAUCCUAUUCUAUGUUCAUCAUUAAUAGAAGCCCUGAACAUUGGAUGCCAACCUGAGAAGGUUCUUUGGUUGGCAGAAUUGAUGAGAGAGAAGUCUAUCCCAUUAAACACAAGUGCUUCUUUUUGGGUCAUAUAUGCUUGCAGCAUGGUAAGAGACUGGAGGGCAGCAAGCAAAACAAUUGAAUGUAUGGAGACAUCAUUCUCAUCAAUUUCGCUUGGUCUCUUAAAUCAGAUUCUGCAUUUCCUUGGAAAGAGUGGAAAGAUUGAGACCAUGAUGAAGGUUUAUUACAAGAUAUUAUCCUCACAUUCAAACAUCAGCUUGGUAACACACACAAUUUUGUUGAAGAAUCUUUUAGCAUCUGGAAGAUGGAGGAUGUGUAUUGAGGUUUUGCAGUGGAUGGAAGAUGCAGGAAUUCAACCAACACUAAACAUGUAUCGCAAUGUUCUUUCAUAUGCUAGGAAGGACAACAGCGUGGAACAUGCUAAUCUCAUCCAAGAAAGAAUAAGUAACUUAAGAGGCAAGAUCGACUAAGGCUUAACUAAGCUAUGAAAAUCGAUGCCCUUUAAUGGAAGGAGCAAGUGAAACCCAGUGGUCAUAAGAAUGCCUACUAAUUUCCAGAAGUUGUACAUUCAUGUGAAAGGCAUGAAUGAUCUAAUGUCGGCACUUUAAUAAUACUCUAGCUGAUCACUCAACUUUGGCUCUGGGAGCCCUAGGGUUUCUUUGUCUGCAACUGUUCAUCUUGGUAGGAAAAGGAAGAAGAGUAAAAGAGAAGAGGAAGAGGAGAUUCCUCUCUUGUUCCUCGCCUGAGAAAGAUUAUAUACUUUGAUUAUGUUUUUGAGGUGACAGGAUUCAGGUCUUCAUUCUGCUAACGAUAUUCAGGUCUCUCUCUCCAGCUCUCUCUCUCUCUCUCUCUCUCUCUCUCUAUAUAUAUAUAUAUAUAUAUAUACACACACACACAAGUUGAUGGAUAUGCAUACAGACACAGCAUUUCAGAUUUAAUCAUGUAUGUUCUCGUGAGAUCUCUGCACCACAAGAACUGCAGGUGACUGAAAUAGUGUGUUCACUGUUACUAUGUACUGAUAUACACCAUUUGAAACCAUUUUUCAAUUGCUACUCUAGACAUGAUAACUUUAUCAAAUUUUUUGUUCCAGUAGAGCAUAUACUAAUCUUCUUUUCGUCUCCUCAAGUGGUUAUCAUCUUGUUUUCAUUGUAACAGGGACGAGAUCACCAUCUGUCAUGUUGAUCAUCUUACUUUGGCAUUGUCAAAGUAAACAAAUAUCACCAGGUUCUUGGUGGAAAUAUAUCCAUAAGAUGUUGAUUUCAGCUACCCCGGAACAAGGUAGCUAGUCAUCAAUUUGGUGCAAUCCCCACCAGAUGAACCAGUGAUCAAGUCAUGAAGGAAAUCUUUAUAAAAGUCGGUGGAGUUGCUGAAUACACUGUGGCAAAAGAUGAGAAAUUGGAAAGGUAGCAAUCCUGACACUGUAUAAUGGCUGUUAUUAUUUGCUGUUAUUAUUUCUUUAGAUGCAUAAUGGACAUUUAUGGAGCUGUGAGAGUACAAUUCGUGACAUCUCAACCUGCCCCACAGGCAUGGAAGGUUAGUAAUUUUUAUGAAUAUCCACAACCUAUGGUCUAAUCAGGUUUUAGUUGAUCCAAAUAUACAACUAAUCUCUGCAUCUGCAGUGACAACAAAAAAUUGGCAAUAUUAGUCACAGAAUCAAUCAUAUUGCUGUGGAUACUAAUUUAACAUGUAAAUAGCAAAGAUAAAAGGGUAAAGAUAUCAUGUAAACAUGUCAAUUGGUAGUAUAAACACUGGCAAUUAGUUCCUGAAAAUAGUCACCCGUUUAGCCAUGCAUAUGAGCAGUAGGAGACUACUCUGAUAAUUCAGCUUUUUACAGUGCGAUCUUAAUCAUCUGAUAAACUCCGUGUCCACUUUCUAGAACAUCAUCAUCUUCACCCCAAUGCUACUUUUUUUCUUCUCUUGUUUCUGGUGGAAGUUGUCUACCUUUAGAGAUGAUACUUUUUGUUAUAUCUAUAGUAAAAUUUGUAACUAAAUACAGAUAUGAAACAUAAUAAUCAUGGUGACAAUUUUGAAGUAUAGUAAAAAUUGUUGACGAGCAUGUUGGAAAGAGGAGCGAUGGGUGAGUAGAUGCGACGAGCGAUCGAUGAUCAAGCAAGUGCAAUGAGUGAGCAGGAUCGAUAGGUGUGUCAGAAUCCGGUGUGGGCCCUCACAGGGUCCAUCUACUGGGAAAGAAGGCUUGCCUCUAAGAGCCAAGUUGGCCGCUUCCGCUCCUCGAGCCACCGUGACACUUCAACCUUUUUGCUGCUCCGUUCUUCAUGUACGUUUCAUCUCCAUGACUCUUCAUUCGAGUGAUCAUUCUUUGUCUUCGUCUUCUAGUGCUCUGCACACGAACGAUCGGUUUUUGGUUCGAGAUCUCGAUAUUGAACACCUAAGGAAGUUUCGCCAGUAGCAUGGCGUCCACCUUCGUCGCUGCUACGGAAGCAGGCAAGGAACAGCAGCACCAGCACCACGGCCGCGAGUGCAACCAGCAUCAGCGGGCAACUCCUUCGCCACGGACCCAGAGGAGGAAAUGGUCCUCCGUCUCCUCCGCCGGCGACAAAGUGCGUGUGCGCUCCGGCGACGCACGCCGGGUCGUUCGAGUGCAGUCUCCACCGAGUCAACUCUCAUGGCCGCUCUGCGGCGCCGCCCAUGGCCUCUCCUAAUCACCAGCCGCCCACGUCUUCUUCAUCUACAACCCUAUUGCACGAGAGCUAUCAGCUUCCCUUGGCACGUGAAACUUCGACUCUGCAACUGCCUGAGACGUGCAAUGACGAGAGUUUGCUACAGAAAGUUCUUAAACAGAUGAUGAGAUGCUAGAUAACAAAGAUGAAGACGCGUUGAAAUUUCGUCACCACACUUGCAGAGAGUUUGCGUGAAGAAACAGUUAGAAGGCAUUUAGUUGCAAUACCGAUGCAAAGGCUUUUAACUCAAGAAAGCUGAAAUGGUAGCAGUGAUACUUCAUACACUAAUGGCUUGCUGAAAUAAAUUAGCUCAAGCAAAAGAACAACUUUCCUCCACAAACUAUGCUGGAGAGCUCCAAGUCAAAAAGCUUACACAGCAUGAAAAAUCAAUAUAUGAUUCCUAUG